UGGGGAAUUUUGGACAAUGGGCGCAAGCCUGAUCCAGCAAUGCCGCGUGCAGGAUGAAGGCCUUCGGGUUGUAAACUGCUUUUGUACGGAGCGAAAAGGUCUGCCCUAAUACGGUGGGCUCAUGACGGUACCGUAAGAAUAAGCACCGGCUAACUACGUGCCAGCAGCCGCGGUAAUACGUAGGGUGCGAGCGUUAAUCGGAAUUACUGGGCGUAAAGCGUGCGCAGGCGGUUAUGUAAGACAGAGGUGAAAUCCCCGGGCUCAACCUGGGAACUGCCUUUGUGACUGUAUAGCUAGAGUACGGCAGAGGGAGAUGGAAUUCCGCGUGUAGCAGUGAAAUGCGUAGAUAUGCGGAGGAACGCCGAUGGCGAAGGCAAUCCCCUGGGCCUGUACUGACGCUCAUGCACGAAAGCGUGGGGAGCAAACA
rnacentral:rRNA from 1 species